GGCUUGUUGGUCAAGAGGUUAAGACGUCACCCUCUCACGGUGAAAUCAGGGGUUCGAUUCCCCUACGAGUCACCA
rnacentral:tRNA from 4 species